rnacentral:rRNA from 1 species
CAUUAAUGUAUUUUUAAAAUGUUGUCCUGGUUUUGUAACUAAAAUGGUUUGGCAGUGAGCGAUUCUUGUUAGGGGAAGAUGCAUAGUAAAGGAUGGUCCACCUAUUAUUUUACUCUUGUUAUGUUGGUGUAUAUCUGGUUUGAUAUUAUCGUUUAAUGGUUUGAGUUUGUGUAGUUUUAGUUAAGCCAAGUCUAUGUGCUGCUUAUGGGAGUUUUUGUGUGUUACAUUAAUAAGGGUGUUGUUGUAAUAUGAUAUUAUUUAGGACUUAAUAGUAAUGUUUAAAUUAGUUUGUUGAUGUGAAAUGAGUUUAGCUCA